CGCGAUCCUGGCAUCGCCUGCCCCGGAAUCCAGGAGGGCAGCGGCAGGCAUAGGAGGAACCCGAGUCAACACAGAGGCCUCCAUUCCGGCACAGCUGGGAUGAAUCUUCUCCUCACAGUGCAGCCCCUGGAAGCCAGCGGCACAGAGGCAGAGGAAAGCGCCAGGUUUGCUCACGCAGGUGCCCCCAUUGAGGCAGGAGGCUGGAGAGAGGAGCCUUGAGGGUCCCUUUGAAGUGGACAUGUAAGCCAACAAUGACCUUGAACUCCUGAUCCUCUGCCUCCAUCCCUGGAGGGCUGGGAUUAUGUGUGUGUACCGUGUCAGAGCAGGGGCUGGAGAGACGGCUCAGCCGUUAAGAGCACUGCUCUCCCAAAGGUCCUGAGUGCAAAUCCCAGCACCUACAUGGUGGCUCACAACCAUCUGUAAUAAGAUCUGAUGCCUUCUUCUGAUACGUCUGAAGACAACUACAGUGUACUCAAAUAAAAUGAAUAAAUCUUUAGAAAAACAAA